UGAUGACAUCUCUACCUUCCACCCAUUUUUCCAUUCAUCUACAAUUUGAGUGCAAUUAGGAACUUGAUCCAAGAAAAGAGGAAAUGUCAAAAUUGGUACACCAGCAAAAACUGUUUCCAAAGUUGAAUUCCAUCCACAAUGGCUCCAAAAUCCACCUACAGAAGAAUGAGACAACACCUUGAGUUGAUCACACCAAGGUAUCNNNNNNNNNNNNNNNNNNNNNNNNNNNNNNNNNNNNNNNNNNNNNNNNNNNNNNNNNNNNNNNNNNNNNNNNNNNNNNNNNNNNNNNNNNNNNNNNNNNNNNNUUCUUUCAACCGUGACGUUUCACCACGGGCCACAUAAAGAUACCGAAUUCCGCUACUGUUUAGUGCUUCGACGAUUACGUCCAUUUGUGCACUGGACACCGAAAGGAAACUACCAAAAGAAAUGUAUAAUACUGAUUCAGAUGGCUGAGAAUCUAACCAUUUUAUAUAGUCGUGGCUUUGAUCAGUGUUCACCAAGUUUUUUUCUUCGAGUUCUAAAUAAGGUAUUGAAGGGCCGAUAGGAUAGAUUGGGAAGGGGAAUAUAGAUUUAAGGGUAUCAAUUGUUUCAGCUUCCAACUCUUGCACUGUGGUAAGCAGAAGAUAAUUUGCAUUAGGCACCUUGGAAAUGCAUUCCAAUGCAAGCUGCAAAACUGGGUGAUCGUUUUCGUGAAGUACAGUUCGAAGGUCUUCUGUAUGAAGUGAAGAAAUUCCUGGAACGUUCCCUGCUCUUUCAUCUACAUUAUAUAAAACAGCACAGAUCAGACAUGCAGUCAUGUACAAUUGCAUUAAUCUUCUGCGAUGACAUGCAAUACAUAAAAGUAUCACUAGGUCACAAUAAUUACAACUAUAUAGUCACCACAAAAUGAAAUUGAAGAAUGAAUUCUCAAAGUCUAUUCUUGUGAUUAUUCAGCCAAAUUUUUAACUGGUAAAAAUCCCAAACUUACAACUCACUCUCUGGCUAUUUUAAGUAUAGAUAGUAAUCUCUACCAGUGCAAUAAGUAGUUUGACAUAUUAUUAUGAAAAUUACCAAGAGAAUGAAUGUUUAAGCUUCAUAUAGGCCAAAUAUAACUUAACACUAAUAUUAGUCUCCACAAUGCAUCUUUAAGGUUAUUAAAAAUUACCUUUCUUAAACCUUCUUUUGUUUUAAAAGAUCUAUUUCUUAAAUUUUGGUGGCUUACAGUUGAGUGAAACUUCCCUUGCCAUAUCCUUUUUUUGAGCAAAAAUCUAAUGGUAUUAGUAUUCACUAUUGCUUUGAAAAAUGAAACUUCGAAUUUUAGGAACUUUGUAGUGCCCCUAGUACAUAAGUAUAAACUAAUAACUAUAGAGUUCCUAAAAUUCAAAGUUUCACUUAUUACUUUCAAGGCUAAAAUGCAGUAGUGUCCCCCUAACUUUCCCUAAAUUGCGAUUUUGGCCCCCUAACUUUCAUAAUAGCACUUUUGCCCCCCUCCCCUAAUUUUAGCCAUUUUGCAAAAGGUUGGCCCCCUAGUGAUUUUGAUCAAGUCAAACGCACACGUGAACAUGUACAUUGACUCACAUGCCACGUCAGCAUGUCAUGUGAGUCAAUGUCCACAUGUGCAUUGACUUGCUGACGUGGCAUGCGAGUCAUUGUCCAUGAGUGCAUUGACUUGGUCAAAAUCAAUCGGGGCUCACCUUUUGAAAAAGGGGCUAAAAUUAAAGGGCCAAAAGUGCUAUUAUGAAAGUUAGGGGAUCAAAAGUGCAAUUUAGUCUACUUUCAAUUAUUUAACUUUCUCAAAUUAUUAUCAAUAUGGACGGGUUAGUGCUAGUGUCUUACUAGAUGUCUGUGUCAAUCUUUCAUAGAUUUAUACUGAAAUUUUUUUCAAAAACAGAAAUCACACUCAGUAACUAGCCCAAAGACCGACCAGUCCAAGGGACAAAUUCAACCGUCCACCGAGGGAGGGAAUUGAGAGUAAAGCUCAGUAUAGACUGACCCAACACAGUAAUUGGCGCCGACAGGAUUCGAAGUUUCGAACCUAAAACCUAUAGAGGAGCACACUCCCCUGGACCAACCCCUAACACAGUAAUACUAAUAAACUACUUAUAAAUAUCAUAUUUAGCAUUAUUGGUUGAUGUUUGACAUUUAAUUGAGUUGUGUUGUGUCAUCCAGUGAUGUUCCAAUUCUUUUCCUAAUAAGAGUUUAUUUCCUAAUAAGAGCUAAUUGACUUGUGUUGUGUCAUCCAGUGAUGUUCCGAUACUCACGUUAACUAUAAAAUUGAAAAAUGCACAAAUAAUGGUUUUCUCUUAAGUAAAUAAAUAAAUAAUUACCCAAUUUAUCAACUGUUAAUUGAUGGUUUCGUGAAAAGACAUCAAGAUGAUGUAACAUGGAGUAAAACGAUGCUGACAUAGUCCAAAACGCCGCCACCGGAAUAUUCCUCCGAUUAGCAACAGCAACAGGCCACCGCAGCUCAACGUCACCAAUUAUGGCAUUCACAGUUGGCUCAAGCUGAUCAAGAAGCCGCUCAAACGGCUCUUCCAUCUUCGUCAUGACGGCUUCAUAAAAUCCAGGAAAAUCGGCUGCUCUCUCGCGCUCCGGUGGGAUCACGUUGGGAAUUGUAGUGAAGCUGAUGGCUUCUGGCUUUGGAUCGGCGCCGAUAUAGCUGAGCCAUUCCUCGGUGACUACAAAGGUGAUGAAAAUUUUGUUGGGUUUUCUUGAUGCUAGGAUUUUGCAGAAGUUUAGCAUGGGGUUUAUGUGUCCUCUUCCCGGAUACGGCAUUGCCACCACGUGGGACACGGCUUUGCCGUCGCCGGAGAAAUUCAUUUGGGUUUGGGAGAGUUGUGUGGUUUGUCUUGUGGAUUCCUGUGAUCAGUUAAAUUGUUUGUAGGUGGUGGCAAAAUGUGGCCAACCCGCCCGUUUAACCGUUAUUUUUUGCAGCUUAGCCGAUGAUAGAGUUUUACUUUUCACACCCGGGCAUACAUAUGCCAUUUGAUAUUUCAAAUUUACCCGACUCGCUAGUUAGAAAAUAGGAAAAAUUGAGGAAAAAUGAAUUCGAUUUUUAGAAUGCGAACCAUAUAAAAAUCAAAAAAUUUUGUCCUGUUCACUCUUCUCUCAUCUCCCAUAAAAUAAUUUUGAAUGAAACACAAUUUGUAAGUUAAAGUGUGAACCAUUUAUUUAUCUAAUUUUCUGUCAAAUUUAUCAACUCUUGUAUCUUUGAUAUAUGUUUAUUUCAAGUAUAAAUCUAAACUUCGUCAUAUAGAAUAAAGUAACAAUCCAGUAUAGUUAUGUUUACGGUGUGUGAUUGGUCAAUAAUGUCACAACCGCUCCAAUAGCAAAUAAAAAUACGAUAUAAGAUUGUAGCCACGUUUUUAUAAGGUACACUAGUUAAAGUGUAAAUUGAGUUCACACUCUAAAUAGAAAACCGUGUUUUAGGUGGCACUCUACAUAGUAAGUGGCAAUAUUUUAUACUCAAACUCAACAUCUGCGCUCCUUAGAUGAAAAAAAUCAUGAAAAAAAGAGUUUGUUUUUCUAGAUAGCAAACUGCAAACCGAGUUUGCUUUCUAGAAUACGAACUCUUUUUUUUUAUCUGAGGGGACGCAGACGCUGAGUUUGAGUUAACAAUAUUGGCACUCGCUACUUAGAGUGCGAAAAGUGAUCAUAUCCUAGAAGGCGAUGGGUUGGUUUUCUAAUUUCAGGGGGUGCGUGAGGAAUUUCGGGGAACACGAAAAACAAAUCUCCCGAAGUUAUGAGCUCGGUCCUUCUAGUUGGCCUAACCAGCAAAACUCACUUAAAAAAUGGAGUGNNNNNNNNNNNNNNNNNNNNNNNNNNNNNNNNNNNNNNNNNNNNNNNNNNNNNNNNNNNNNNNNNNNNNNNNNNNNNNNNNNNNNNNNNNNNNNNNNUUAAAACAAAUUUGUUUGACGGGACAACCCACCAACUCACUUGUCUGCCAAUAAACAGGAAUGAGGUGUGAUUUUAAACUCGGCCAUCUAAGUUUUAAACCCUAAACAAACAUGGAUCUCAUGAGGGGACUGGAACCACUUGAUACAUCUAAACCAGAUUAACCUUGCUGAAAUUUGACGCGCCAGCCACUUUAUCAACAGACAAUUUAAGUUUUGCUGUUUAUGACUUUGAAAUUGCAUAACUUCAUCACUUGAACAUGUUUAAGUGACAGGUAUAUGGUAUCCCCCUUGUACCAGUAACAAAGUCUGUGCCAUUCAAAGCAUUAUCUUUGUCAGUUAUGCAAUGCUUCGAAACAAAAGUCAUUGCAUUAUUCAACAUUGAUGAGUAAAUGUGCAUAAUGCAGCAGAAUACAUUUUUCUUAUAAGAUCAAAUUGCUGAAUGUAUAAGUACAAAUUCACCUAUAAAAGAGCUUUUCAGUUGCAAUUUCAUGACAUUUUACAAUGUUACUUAUCUAAAUACAUUUUAACAGUCAAUUACAAUAUCCUUCACUCUAUUAAUUUAUUGCUUAUUUGUGUAACUGAACCAAAGCUUCUCAACACAUCAGUGCCUUGAAUUAUUUUUUAUCAGUAGGAAUCAAACUCGAUACUCCGUAAUAUACAACAGUCACACACACUGCACACUAACUACUUGCACUAGACCUAAUGCUUAAUUAGUAGUGACCUUCAAGAUGAAAUGUCGCUGAUAAAUGCAUUGAGGUUCCUAUCUGAGGAUCCACCUUUGCCAAUAGCUUUACGACACAUAGCCUUAAGUUCUCUUGCUCUAUCUCUGAUUUUCCUUCCCUCUUGGCUUUCAAUAUCCAUAAACAUCGUAACGAGAACUUCUAUAACUUCUUUUGAUAGAAACACAUCACUCUCCAACUUUAAUGAUACAUCUACCUUCCACCCAUUUUUCCAUUCAUCUACAAUUUGAGUGCUAUUAGGAACUUGAUCCAAGAAAAGAGGAAAUGUCAAAAUUGGCACACCAGCAAAAACUGUUUCCAAAGUUGAAUUCCAUCCACAAUGGCUCAAAAAUCCACCUAUAGAAGAAUGAGACAACACCUUGAGUUGAUCACACCAAGGUAUCACCAUGCCUUUUUCCCCACACUUUUCUUUCAACCGUGACGUUUCACCACGGGCCACAUAAAGAUACCGAAUUCCGCUACUGUUUAGUGCUUCGACGAUUACGUCCAUUUGGGCACUGGACACCGAAAGGAAACUACCUAAAG
rnacentral:lncRNA from 1 species